rnacentral:rRNA from 1 species
AGAUCAGCGGCGGACGGGUGAGUAACACGUGGGCAACCUGCCUGUAAGACUGGGAUAACUUCGGGAAACCGGAGCUAAUACCGGAUAAUCCUUUCCCUCACAUGAGGGAAAGCUGAAAGACGGUUUCGGCUGUCACUUACAGAUGGGCCCGCGGCGCAUUAGCUAGUUGGUGAGGUAACGGCUCACCAAGGCAACGAUGCGUAGCCGACCUGAGAGGGUGAUCGGCCACACUGGGACUGAGACACGGCCCAGACUCCUACGGGAGGCAGCAGUAGGGAAUCUUCCGCAAUGGACGAAAGUCUGACGGAGCAACGCCGCGUGAGCGAUGAAGGCCUUCGGGUCGUAAAGCUCUGUUGUCAGGGAAGAACAAGUAUCGGAGUAACUGCCGGUACCUUGACGGUACCUGACCAGAAAGCCACGGCUAACUACGUGCCAGCAGCCGCGGUAAUACGUAGGUGGCAAGCGUUGUCCGGAAUUAUUGGGCGUAAAGCGCGCGCAGGCGGUUCCUUAAGUCUGAUGUGAAAGCCCCCGGCUCAACCGGGGAGGGUCAUUGGAAACUGGGGAACUUGAGUGCAGAAGAGGAGAGCGGAAUUCCACGUGUAGCGGUGAAAUGCGUAGAGAUGUGGAGGAACACCAGUGGCGAAGNCGGCUCUCUGGUCUGUAACUGAC